AUUGAACGCUGGCGGCGUGCCUAACACAUGCAAGUCGAGCGGUAACAGGUGUAGCAAUACAUGCUGACGAGCGGCGGACGGGUGAGUAACGCUUGGGAAUCUGCCUGUUAGUGGGGGACAACCCGGGGAAACUCGGGCUAAUACCGCAUACGCACUACGGUGGAAAGCCGGGGACCGCAAGGCCUGGCGCUAACAGAUGAGCCCAAGUCGGAUUAGCUAGUUGGUAGGGUAACGGCCUACCAAGGCGACGAUCCGUAACUGGUCUGAGAGGACGACCAGUCACACCGGAACUGAGACACGGUCCGGACUCCUACGGGAGGCAGCAGUGGGGAAUAUUGGACAAUGGGCGAAAGCCUGAUCCAGCGACGCCGCGUGGGUGAAGAAGGCCUGCGGGUUGUAAAGCCCUUUCGGUGGGGAAGAAAAGCCUCGAGCUAACACCUCGGGGUCUUGACGUAACCCAUAGAAGAAGCACCGGCUAACUCUGUG
rnacentral:rRNA from 1 species